rnacentral:rRNA from 1 species
UACGUAGGUGGCAAGCGUUGUCCGGAUUUACUGGGCGUAAAGGGCGUGCAGGCGGUUUGUUAAGUGCAGGGUGAAAGCUCCCGGCUCAACUGGGAGAGGUCCUUGCAUACUGGCAAACUCGAGGGAGGCAGAGGAAAGUGGAAUUCCCGGUGUAGUGGUGAUAUGCGUAGAUAUCGGGAGGAACACCUGUGGCGAAGGCGGCUUUCUGGGCCUUACCUGACGCUGAG